CGCCUGGGGAGUACGGCCGCAAGGUUAAAACUCAAAUGAAUUGACGGGGGCCCGCACAAGCGGUGGAGCAUGUGGUUUAAUUCGAUGCAACGCGAAGAACCUUACCUGGUCUUGACAUCCACGGAAGAAUCCAGAGAUGGAUUUGUGCCUUCGGGAACCGUGAGACAGGUGCUGCAUGGCUGUCGUCAGCUCGUGUUGUGAAAUGUUGGGUUAAGUCCCGCAACGAGCGCAACCCUUAUCCUUUGUUGCCAGCGAUUAGGUCGGGAACUCAAAGGAGACUGCCAGUGAUAAACUGGAGGAAGGUGGGGAUGACGUCAAGUCAUCAUGGCCCUUACGACCAGGGCUACACACGUGCUACAAUGGCGCAUACAAAGAGAAGCGACCUCGCGAGAGCAAGCGGACCUCAUAAAGUGCGUCGUAGUCCGGAUUGGAGUCUGCAACUCGACUCCAUGAAGUCGGAAUCGCUAGUAAUCGUGGAUCAGAAUGCCACGGUGAAUACGUUCCCGGGCCUUGUACACACCGCCCGUCACACCAUGGGAGUGGGUUGCAAAAGAAGUAGGUAGCUUAACCUUCGGGAGGGCGCUUACCACUUUGUGAUUCAUGACUGGGGUGAAGUCGUAACAAGGUAACCGUAGGGGAACCUGCGGUUGGAUCACCUCCUUACCUGAAAGAAGC
rnacentral:rRNA from 1 species